GACGAACGCUGGCGGCGUGCUUAACACAUGCACGUCGAACGGAAAGGCCCUGCUUUUGUGGGGUGCUCGAGUGGCUAACGGGUGCUUAACACGUUAUUAACCUUCCCUUGACUUUGGGUUAACUUCAGGAAACUGGGUCUCAUACUGGCUAGGAGCUCCUGCUGCAUGGUGGGCGUUGGAAAGUUUCGGCGGUUGGGGAUGGACUCGCGGCUUGUCAGCUUGUUUGUGGGGUAGUGGCUUACCAAGCCUUUGACGGGUAGCCGGCCUGAGAGGGUGACCGGACACAUAGGAACUAAGAUACGGCCCAGAAUCCUACGGGAGGCAGCAGUGGGGAAUAUUACAGAAUGGGCAGAAGCCUGAUGCAGCAACGCCGCGUGCGGGAUAACGGCCUUCGGGUUGUAAACCGAUUUCGCCUGUGACGAAGCGUGAGUGACGAUAAUGGGUAAAGAAGAACCAGCUAACUAAGUG
rnacentral:rRNA from 1 species